CCCGCCCCUCGCGCGCUGUCCGCGCGUCCCUUAGUCCCGCGGUGACUUUUGGUCUGGGGUCUUCUACCGUCGUCUCGGAUUCUUCUUCUGUAUAGCUGUGGGCGGUGCGUUAUUCCACAGGUGCUGCUGCGCCGAUGCUCCGUACGUUCGCAGUAACGGGUAGAGCGGAAGGCUCCGUGGCCAGGGAAGAGCGGCACGGACACGUUCCUGCUCGCUCCGUUGCACCGGAAUUUCAACGGCUGGGUUCGGCCGCUAAAUUGAUGGCGCUACCGGAAGAAAUUUCAGAAAAAAAGGGUGGCUUUUUCGUCGAUCUCUUUGUGAGAGUAUCAAAUCAGGCGGCGGUAAAUACGUAGAAGCAACUAGGCGUACUACGGCGUGUACCGGACAGCGUUGGCGUGCCGCUCUGCUAGCAGCGGAGAGCCAGAUGAGGAUGCCCGUGAUAUGAGAAAAGCUCUGUCCAGAGAUAUGGAGACGAAAUCAGUUGUACCUCACCCUGUGACACCGGAAGACAUUGAGUAACUGUAAGCUGUGAUGCUCAGUGAAAUUACUAAGAGCGUUAAGUUUCCCGUGCCUUUGCUUUCACUCUCCCAUUCUCUUGUCUUGCGGCACGUCGCGUUUUUUGAGGCCGUGGAAGCGACACCGGGAGCGAUGGGUUGUCAGAACCAGGUCCUCCUGCCUGUCGCUGGUUUUGCUUACCUUCGCCGUCUCUGUGUACCAGCCUGCAUCUCUCUCUCUGUUCCUCAAUCCCUGUCCUCUCUUCUCUGUUCUGCUUUGUUUCACUGCGUAUGUCCCAUUCCCUGUCCCACCUUUAUCCUUCCUUCCUUCUUCCUCGCCUUUUUCUUUGUCCUUUUGUCCUGCUCCCCGACCCUGUUUCUCGCUCCAUCUGACCGUCCUUUUCCUGGCACCUUUGUGUCUCUGCUCCUUGCCCCCGUCUUUCUCUCCCCUCUGCCCAGUCCUCGUCUCCCUCUUUUGUCUCUCUGUCCCUCUGUCCUCCUCCUGCCUCUGCCCCUCUGUCCUGCUCCCUGCCCCUCUUUUUCUCACUCUGCCCCAGCGUCCCGCUCCCCGGUCCUCUUUCCCUCUGUUGCUCUCUCCUUUUAUCUCUCCUUCUCCCUGCUCCCCAGCCCGGUUCUCUCACG